AUUUCUCUGGGCCGGCCAAGGCAAGAACAAAAGGGAAAAAGCAUAGAACAAACCCUAGAGAAGAAAAUCAAGAGAAAAUUCAUUGGAUUUCAAGAAAUUAAGCAAGUAAAGGUGGUGAAACUUUCGAUAAGGGUAAGGAGAUUGUACCCGAAGAUCGGGACUAGGAGUACUUCGACUCCCGAUAUUGCUGGGUAGUAAUAUAAUUGCCAUGUCAUGCUGUCGAAACUUUUA